AUCUUUCUCUGGAACCGACUCUCAGUUGCAGAACCGAGUUUUGAGCUCGGUGUAAAGUUUAAAUUGCAGUCUACAAGCUGUUUCAAAGCAGCAGGCAUGGAAAGCUGUCAUCUCAGCCAUGAGUGAAAGAAAGCCCUGAGCAGGA
rnacentral:lncRNA from 1 species